AGAAAAUGUCUGUGUGUGCUGGAUGUACUUCUCAUUAUGCGAUGCUUCCAGUCGUGCAGUGCCUCCAUUUUAUUUUUGCAAGAUUUUCCACUGGCUACUGCCACGCCCCUAGUUCUCCACAGGGCUGAGACUCAUUGCGUUUUUUUUUUUUUUUUCUCACCGCACGGUAGGAUGUACUACUUGAGGAGGGUGUCAUGAAGGCAGGACUUAACAAGUCUUUUUUUUUCCCCCCCGCACGGUCUUGUGGUUCUUCAGAAAUAGUGAACAGCAUGUGAAGAUGACAGCAGGGAUAACAGGACACUGUUUCGCCAAAGAUGAACCACUGUUGUCGCAUGACAAAGCCCUCCUGAAGACCCACACACCACUGUAUUCCAGAACACUCACCGCCAGCUGGUGCAUGGUAAAGCCAACUUGAGAGGAGGUAAUGAGGAAGAGGAUGAGGGUAAGAAAGAGGAGAAGGAGGAAGAAGAGAGAACAGAAAGAUAAGAAGAGGAAGAAAAAAAAAAGCAGGAGAAAUUUGUGAAAAGAGAUACGAAACAUAAUACCGGAUAAAUUAAAAGCAAAAAUUUGCAAGGGGAGGAAGGAUUAAUAAAAGAAGGAAGGAUAAAAGAAGAUGACGAAAGGAGGAAAAAAAUCGGGAAGAGGUGGAGAGGAAAGACAGAAAUAUAAAAGUGCAGAAAACAGAGGAAGGUUGUAAGACAGGAGGAGGAAAAGGAGAUGGAGGAGAGGCAAAACCAGAGAGAGAGAGAGAGAGAGAGAGAGA